rnacentral:lncRNA from 1 species
GCUCGUAUUAUUAUGCCUAUCCGUCUUAUCAAUACCCUGUUUACCAAGUUACAGAUUCUUAUGGUCAAUCCAAUUGCUCCAUUAUGUGAAACAGAGGGAUCCAAGAUAUAAUAAAAAUGUAUUUACGGUCAAAUAUUUAUUAAUAUGUUGAUAGAUAUUAGCGAGUUUGAGCAAAAGCUAUUGGGUUCAUGUGAACCUGAGCGAUACAAAAAAAUGAUACUGGAAGGUCAAAACAGAGUAUCAUUUUAAGUUUUUUUUUGUUCGUUCAGAGAGCUUAAUGGACUAUCUAGUAGAUGAAGAGUUUUGGUUUCCAUCUUUGUAAAUCCGUUUCAAGUAAUAAAAUAUUUGAAUUUUGUAGUGAAUGAUUCAAGUGAUUAACUAUGUGACGUAUACAAAAAAAUUAAUUAACUGGAAAAUAUUUUCCUUAAUGUCAAAUGGAUAGGAGACAAAAAGAUAAGAGUAAUAUGUUUAUGCUCAUAUAUUUCCCUAAUUUUUGAGUAGUUUAUAAAUUUAGAAAUUAGAAAAAACAAUCUAGAAUUUAAUUUGUUAUUAUGUUUGUUAAAACUCUUUCAAAAUUGGUAGAUGAUAUGCACACUAUUUAUAAUCCACAAGCGAAAUUAACAUAGAAUUAAUGUAAGUGGAAUUUCUUGCUCUAAAAACUAAAACUAAUCUCUAGUUUUAUCAAAAGAAAAUUGAUAAAGUAGCAACAUAAUUAACACAAUUAUAGUUUGAUAUGGCAUUAUGUACCUGAUAUGAAGUCGUCUUUAUUAGAAAACAUUUUAUUUCCUAAUUUGAGAUCUUCCAGUACGAAUAAAGAUUUAGUAGAGUUUCAAUACGAAUAUCAAACACCGAAUAGAAAACUAAAGAAAGACAAAGUGUGAUUUUAAACAAAAGAGGGUACGCUGGUUGGGGACCAGAACUAGAAGUGUUGUGUCUUAACUAACAUAACAAGUUUCGUAAUACACUCCAAAACCUUCUUAUAAUGGUCAUUAUAAUGUUAUUAACUUAUUUUUUAUGAUAUAGAACUUAAAAAAAAUAAAAUUUAACCCACUUUUAUAAUAUAGAACUUUUUAAAAAAAAUUAGUCACGGACAUUAUCACUUAUUUAUUGUUAAAUUGUUCGUAGAUAAAUACUUUUUAAUAAAAUAUUGUUAAUUUAUUGCUAAAUAGAAUUAGCGGUAAAUUUUAUUAUUCAGCUAUCAAAUUUAACCGUCUCUAAUUCAUUUUUUUUUUUAAGUAGUGAGUAGCCUCCCUUGUUGCUUAGUGCCUUUGUCUUUCCAAUAUCAUUAAUAGAGCUCGAUUGUGACAAGAUAUUUUUGUCAAUACUUAGCAGAAUAAUGUAGCAAAAAGUCUAUCUAUAGAUGUACGUCCAAGAAACUUAAAUGAUUAUUAGAAGAAAAUAUGAAAAAUAGAAUGAAACGAUUGCUAUCCUCAUUUAAUUAGAUAGAACAUUGAUAUAUCUUAGAAAUGAAAGCAAUAUGGAUUUAACCACACAAAAAGUAAUAUAUGUCAACACAAAUAAUAGUAUCCACAUAGGUGGUGGACAACUAUCUUCUUAUAAUUUUUAACAAUUCUCAUUCGUAAAUUAAUUUUUGAAGUUUAAUUAAGUUCAAUAUUAGAGUUAGACUCAUCUCAAUUUUGUUUGAUACUGGACCCCCAGCUCAUAUUAUUUGUACACUUGAUAAUCCAAUCUAUGAGUAUAGGGUUGUUAAUAUGUAGUUCAUAACGAUUCAUUUUUAUUUCUUACUUAAUCACGUCUCAUUAUUUAUAAAGAAAUUAGUUAUAACAAGAGAUAACCGAUAUUCGACAAUUCAUUUGUACCCGUUUUUCAUGAGCUAUACAAUGGUAUAAACAUGUAGUCCUUACUGCGCCGAAACAAGAAAAUUGAUGCGCCUUAGUACUUGCCAAGCAAGAAAGGGGAAGAAGAUGACUUGGUUCGUUUUCUAAAUAUCCAAAUUGUAGGUUGACUUAUUGACUUUUUGGGACCCCAAUUAUUGGAACCAAAUUUAGAGGAUAUAUUACUUCGUCAAUUUAGUUUGUUUUUAUUUUAUUAUUUUAAUGGAAUUUAAGAAAAUAAAAUUUAGAACUAAAAAGUGUCACAAAAGGGAUUUUUGAACCGAUUUUUAAAGAAAAAGUAAGAUAAAUAAAUUAAAACGAAAAAAUUACUUGAAUUUUGUAAUCUAUUUGUUUUAAUUUAUUGUUUUAUUUUGACUAGAUAUAGAAUUUCAAAAAAAUAAAAAUAAUAAUUAAUUAUUUAAUUUUAAACUAAAAAUAUGUAUUAAAAUAUCUUUUGAAUCUUCUCAUUUAAAACAAUGUAAAAUGUUCAACUUAUAAAUAUACAAAGAAGUAUUUAAAAAAAAAAACUUAAAAGAAAAAAAAUAUUAGAAUUAAUAUAAAUGGAGUAAUAGUUUUUAUCCUAACAUAUACUCAUUCUGUUAUAAUUUAUGUGACACUAUUUAAUUUGAUACAAAAUUUAAGAAUGAAAAGAAAAGUCAUUUAAAAUUAUGGUCUAAAGUCUAAACCACUCCUUUAACUAUUUAUGUGUUUAUAAAUCCAUAAGGUAAGUGUGUCACGAUAAAUUGAGAUGGGAGAGUUUAUUCAAACAACCAUUUUAUGGCUUCAUACAAUCAAACCUAGGUCAACCUCAUAACGUACGGAGUUUGGCGGAUGACUGAAUCAUUCUUCUUCCACACGCGCCUUAUUUCAAACAACUAUCUUAAUAUUUUUCUUGCAAGUCUAUAAAUACCCAAUAAUACACAAGUAUUUCUCACUGCAAUUUCUCAGCAUUUCAAAUAUUCCUCCUCUUUUACACUCUCUGCCUACUCAAUUAUACUCCUAACCAAACUUUAAUUCCCCAUCAAACAAACAAAAUGAAGGUAUACAAAUUAAUUUAAAUAUAAUUUUUAAAUUUUUUUAAGUAUAUAAUUCAACUCUUAUAUAUUAACAAAUGUUGUUAAAUUUGUGCAGCAAAAAGUUGUUAUCAGACUAACUUUGAAUGGAAACGAUCGGAAAUAUCGAACCAAGGCCUUCAAGAUAGCUGCUUCUCAAUCAGGUAAUUUUGUGUUGAAUAAAGUUUCAUAUUGAUAUAUAAUAGCUAAAAAAAAAAUCGUGCGAAUUUGGUCCAAAACUGAUAUAUAUAUAUUGUUUUUUUUUACUUAGGUGUGGAAUCAGCAGCUAUAACAGGGGACGGAAAGAACCAACUAGAAGUUGUGGGAGAAGUAGACGCGGUGACUCUAACGAGCUUAUUGAGGAAGAAUUUGGGUCUGGCGGACUUGGUGAGCGUUGGCCCGGCUGGUGGUGGCCCCGCAGCUGCAGCUGCGAUGGUUCAGUCGCAACCUGGCUCGUACUACUAUGCCUAUCCGUCUUAUCAAUACCCAGUUUACCAAGUUACAGAUUCCUAUGGUGAAUCCAAUUGUUCCAUUAUGUGAAUGACAAUUUUCGAUUGCUUACUGAAAACAGAGUGUAUAGUAUUGGAACAGUGGGAUUUAAGGCAGUAAAUUGUAUUCACAGUCAAAUUUUUAUUGAUAUGUUAAUAAAUAUAUAGAGUUUCAGCGAAAGCUAUUUGAUUCACGUGAACUUGCAUAGUGUAUCACUCAAGUUUUUUAUCCCCGUCCAAUGGACUAUCUAGUAGAUGAUGAGUUUUUUUUUUUUUUUUUUCAUCUUUUUGGGUCUUUUUAUAUGCCUUUCAAAUAUUAAAAUAUAUGAUGACGUAUAGAAGUUGCUUCUGUUAGGAGUGUUUUAUCUCUGGCACGAAUAAAGUUUCAGUAGAACUCGAUUGUGACAAGAUAUUUUUGUCAAUACUUAGGAGAAUAAUGUAGCAAGAAGUCUAUGUAUAGAUGUACCUCCAAGAAACUCAAAUGAUUAUUUGAAGAAAAUAUGAAAAAUAGAAUGAACGAUUGCUAUCCACAUUAAAUUAGAUAGAACAUUGAUAUAUCUUAGAAAUGAAGGCUAUUGUUUAACCACAAAAAAAAGGAAUAUGUCAAACACAAAUAAUAGUAUCCACGUAGGAAGGGUCGUCUCAAUGAGUUUGGGGACUAAAGCCAAACUUUAUAAAGAUGCUCGUAGAACAUACUCAAUAUAAUUCAAUAAAUGAAGUCUGGAGAGGUAGGAUAUAUGCGUAAAUUAUGAAGUAAGAAUGUGAACCAUGUAAAUUUUCAAAUACAAAAUAUAUAAUAUAAGGUAAGAACAAUAAAACUUGACUCGGAAUUUUGGAAAAAAAUUAUAUAAUGAUAUCAAAAUAGUGUUGCGCUGAAUUUGAUAAGUUGAUAUAAUGAUAUUAAUAUAGCGUUGAUUGGUUUUAGUGCUUGAAAUUUGAAGAAGACACCAAAAAAUAAAUUUGAUGUUUUUAUGAACACACAACCAUAAAUUUUGCAUAAUGUAGAAGGUUUGAUGGUUUGAAAGGCUUUAGAGUAUUCAAUUAUGAGAGAAUAAAAAUAGUGAAAGGAGAUUAAGAAAACUAGAAAAGUAAAUAUAAGAAUAAUAAUGUUGGUUCAUGAUAAUAGUCAUAUAUAUGAGGCAACAAAUAUAGAUAGCCACAUAGAAAGAAUGCUACAACUAACUAAACCCUAUUCAAUUUCUCAGUUAUUGGUCCCUAUAUUAAAUGAGGUAAGGAUUAUAAAAAAAAAAUUCAAAAAAUUCAUUUCAAAUUCAUCAACGCAUGAGAUUUUUCUAAAAACGAUAUGUAUAUAUAUAUAUAUAUAUAUGUAAAUCUUUUGGAGAAAUUGGGGGCCUAAGUGAUUGCUUUAGUGGCCUUCUGGUCAAGACGGCCCUGCACAUAGGUGGUGGACAAUUUUCUUAUAAUUUUUAACAAUUCUCAUUUCGUAAACUAUUUUUUGAAGUUUAAUUAAGUUCAAUAUUAUUUCUUAUAAUGAUAUCAGACUUAGGCUCAUCUCAAUUAUGUUUGACGCUAGACUCCAGCUCAUAUUAUGGUUUUCAUGUAAUAAUCUAAUCUAUGAGUAUAUGGUUGUUAAUAUAUAGUUCAUGUCGAUUCAUAUUUAUUUCCUACUUAGUCACGACUCAUUAUUUAUAGAGAAAUUAGUUAUAACGAGAGAUAACAAUCUAACUAACAUAUACUCGAUAAUUCAUUUGUACCCGUUUUGCAUGAGCUAUACAGUGGUAUAGACAUAUAGCCCUUACUGCGCCGAAACAAGAAAAAUGAUGCGUCCUAGUACUUGCCAAGCAAGGAAGGGGAAGAUGAUGACUUGGUUCAUUUUCUAAAUGUCCAAAUUGUAGGUUGACUUUUUGGGACCCCAUUUAUUGGAACUAAAUUUAGAGGAUCUAUUACUUCGUCAAUUUAGUUUCUUUUUAUUUUAACGGAAUUUAAGAAAAUAAAAUUUAGAACUAAAAAGUGUCAUAAAAGGGAUUUUUGAAAUGAUUUUAAAAAAAAGUAAGAUAAAUAAAUUAAAACGAAAAAAUUACCUGAAUUUGGUAAUCUAUUUGUUUUAAUUUAUUGUUUUAUUUUGACUAGAUAUAAAAUUUCAAAAAAAUAAAAGAAUUUUUAAAUCAUUUUAUUUUAAAAUUAAAAUAUGUAUUAAAAUAUAUUUGAAUCUUAUCAUAAAAUACUUGAAUUAAAAUAAGUGAAGUAAUAAUUUUUAUCCAAACAUAUAUUGGUUCUGUCUUAAUUUACGUGAUACUAUUUAAUUUGACACAUAAUUUAAGAAUUAAAAGAAUUUUUUUGGAAUUUAUGGUCUAAACGACGACUCUACUAUUCAUGUGGUUAUAAAUCUAAAAGGUAAGUGUGUUACGUAAAUUGAGACGCAAGAGUACUUCCUCCGUCCAGCAAUAGUUGUCCACUAUAUUAUUUUGAGAUGUUCAACAAUACUUGUCCACUUUAUGAAAUUAAUGAAAUAAUUUUACACUUAAUUCCUAAUUUAUCCUUAUUAUUAAUUAUAGUCAAGGUCCUAUUACAUUUUUCAUGACACUGUAUUUAUUAUAUUCAAAAGGUGACAUUGUUCAGUCGCAACCCGGCUCAUACUAUUAUGCCUAUCCGUCUUAUCAAUACCCAGUUUACCAAGUUACAGAUUCCUAUGGUGAACCCAAUUGUUCCAUUAUGUGAAUGCCAAUUUUCGAUUGCCUAUGGAAAACAGAGUGUAUAGUAUUGGAACAGAGGGAUUCAAUAUAAUUAACUGUAUUUACAGUCAAAUAUUUAUUAAUAUGUUAAUAAAUAUAUAGAAUUUGAACGAAAGCUAUUUGGUUCACAAUGAAGUGAAUCAUUGAAGUUUUUGGUCCCUGUCCAGAGCUUAAUGGACUAUCUAGUAGAUGAAGAGUUUUGGUUUUUUUUUCCCAUCUUUUUGGGUCUCUGUAAAUGCCUUCCAAAUAUUAAAAUAUAUUAUUUUUCGUAUAAUUGGAUGAUCUGAGUGAUUUUAUUUGUGUUGUCAAAUUCAUUUGAAUUUAAUAUUUUUAAUAUAGAGUAUCAAUUUAAUGUGUAAAAGUUUACUAGAACUGCAACAAAUAAUAAACUUUAGCUCAUUGCUUCAAAAAUAUAUAACGUUCAAUGAUGAUAACUUUAAAAGUUUACUACGUAAAAUUUAUAUUUUGAAUCCAAACUAAAUAAGACCACGAAAUUACAAUGCAGGGGUAUUAAUUUUCCUUAUACUAAGAUCAGAUUAGUACAAGCUGUUUAUUUUGGAUUAUUUAAUUUUCAUAUAUAAUCUACUUCGAGAAGCACAAUUAGUGUGUGAUUAAUUGUUUUUGUUGAUCAAAUGUUUUGAAAAGUGGAAUUUUUAGAAAAUUAAAGUAUUGUUUUGAAUGUGACUAUUUUAGCUAUGUUUGCUAAAAUAUACUCAAAGCAAUCGAAGAAAAUUUUUAUUAUGAGGAUCCAUUGACAAGUUGACAUGUGGAUUGUGGGGGGGAGGGGGGCACAAGUUGUCCUUUAAAGCUGCAACUAAAAUCAAAGAGGAGAGAGUGUAAAGUUUAAUUGGAAAUUGAAAAAAUAUUGUGGGGUUCGCGUCAAAUACAAUUAAAUAAACUAAAAUGAUGUAUUCAAAAUAGAAAAGUGCACAAUAAAAAAGUAAUGAAACGAACCAAAAGUUAUUUUAUACGUAUAUUGAAAUUUUCUGAUUAAAACUAUUUUAAUAAAAAUGUCAAUUAAUAUUUAUUUUAAUAAAAAUGUCAAAUAAGAUAUUAAUGCCCAGAUUGAAGUUUCAUUGAUUUACUAUUUCUAAAAAUAAAUAUAAAAUUCAACAUAUUUAGCAUAAACUUUGUACGAUUUAAUAAAAGUGUAAUAAGUAGAAAUUUGACUGUUCUGCUCCAAAUUAAAAUGAAAUUCGUACUAUAUAAUGUUGUUAUAUAUCUAACACCAUUUAGAUAAAAGAAAUACUCUAAUAAUAUGAUUGUUAUAUCAUAGGAUAGUUUUUAAAAUUUUCACUUUGUUACACAUUUCAAGUCUUUUCUCAGUCCAUAUAUCAAAUAUCCAUUUUUAAAAGUAACACGAGUUUGAAAAAAAAAAAUAUACAUAAAUCUUAUUUUAUCUUGUAAUAUAGAAUCAUUUUUAAAAGUAACACAAAUUUGAAGAGAUCAAAGUGUAUGUAAAUACUAUUUUAUCUUGUAACAUAGAAAUAAUGUUUUUUUUAUAUAAAUCCUUAAUUAAACAAGUUAAAUAAAUGUGUAUAAAACAUAAAAUAAAAAUAUAGGUCAGCUGAUAAUAUGACUUCUCAUUCCCUGCAUUACUAUUUUAAUGUGUAUUUUUCCAUUUUCAAUACAUCAUUGUAGUUUAUUUAAUUGUAUUUGAUAUGGACCCCACGAUUUUCUUUCCGUUUUCAAUUAAACUCUACACCCUCUCUCCUCUUUGGUUUUAAUUGCAGUUUUAAAGGACAAUCUAUCCCCCACAAUCCACAUGUCAACUAGUUAAUAGAAUUUCAUACAAGUUUUUGUUGGUUGUACCUCUGACUUCUAUCCGUUCGACUUUUUUCUCUUCUUGCCUUUGGUAGGAGCUUCUUCAACAAUAUUAACUUCAAUUAUUGUCGAACUCUAACGAGACUUCUUUUCGGCGAUUCUAUUAUAUUCCUCAAUCUUGAGCCGAAUCACAAAAUUUUCAAGUUUCAUUUCCUUACGUUUGUGCUUUAAAUAAUUCUUGAAGUCGUUCCACGAAGGAGGUAACUUCUCGAUCAUUGCAACCACUUGAAAAGCUUCAUUUACAAACAUAUCCUCAGCAUUCAGAUUAUGGAAAAUAAGUUGAAGUUCUUGCACUUGUGAUUCAACAGUUUUACUAGUUGACAUUUUAUAGUCUAAAAACUUUGCGACCACAAACUUUUUCAAGCAUGCAUCUUUUGUCUUAUAUUUCUUCUAAGGUGCAUCCCACAAUUCUUUCAAAGUUGUCAUUGCACUAUACAUAUUAUAUAAGUCAUCCUCUAAAGCACUCAGAAUGUAGCCCUUACAUAGGAAGUCUGUCUGUUUUCAUGCUUCAAUAAUCAUGAAUUUUUCUUUGUCUAACAUUUCAGCAGCAGGCACUGGAGUUUCUUUACUGGUAAAUUUCUACAGACAAAGAGUGCUAAGCCAGAAAAAUACCCGUUGCUGCCAUCCUUUGAAAUUCAUACCAGAGAAUUUUCCCGAUUUCUCUGUUGGUGGUAUAACAAUUCGGGUUGGUGCAGCAACAACCACUGUUACAUUGUUGUUUGCCAUUUCUGAUAAACAAAAAUCGAUACAAACUUAGUAAGCAAUAACUUAAAUUGCAAACUUAAUAGGAGUAUAAAACUACAAAGGAUUUUGUCUCCACCAAAAACACAGAUUAAAAAUAAAUAACUAAUUUCCUUAAGAUUGUUGCCAAUCUGUGUUUAAAAAACAGUAAUACUGAUUACCAAAAACUUUGAAGAAACACGAAGUUACCAAAGUUUCCAAUGAACCAGUGAAGAAAAGAAGAACAUAAAUUAAUUCACAAAAAAUUAAAAUCUGUAAAACAUACCAGAAUCUGGAAAAGACAAAACGAAAAAAGAUCAAGUCUACUGAAUGCACAAUGUCCCCUUAAGGAAAUUAUUCCUCUCUAGUAUCUGAGGUUUGAUUUGGAAUAUAUCCUCCUAAGAUAGAAUGAUCUCAAUCACCAGUAUAUUGAUACCCAAAACGCGAGCCACUCAACGGUAGUAAAUUACACGAAAAAUAUUUAUGCAAAAGAAGAAGAAGAAAUCAGAAAUUUUCGUAAGUAAAAAGUCUGAAGAAUAACUGGUAUUUAUAGCCAAGAGGAACUGAUUCCGAAAGGUUGCAACCUUUCAGAAACCACACGACCAUUUCAGAAAGUUUGCAACCUUUCAAACGGCCAUGGCUGUUCCUGAAAGUUGCAACCUUUCAGAACAGUCAUCUCCAACGGUGGGAAAUUCAAAUAAAAUGGGAAAGUAAUUUAAAUAAAACCGGUCAUGCGGAUCCGAGUCGGAUCGGAACGUUUCGGUUAAUUAACUAAUUAAUUGAAACGUUUUGGCCAUUUAAUUUUAAAUAAAUAAGUAAAACAAAACUUUAUCCAAAAAAUAAUCUCUGAAUCAUUUUCCAAAGCCGAGCGAGCGACGACGACGGCGCGAGGAGGGUCCCUCUUCCCAACCAUUUUAACAAUUAAUAGAAAUGUUUCUCUAUUUAAAUUCUUCUAUUUUUCUUUUCACCACCGAUGAGGGAGAAAAGCCUUUUUACUAAAGCAUAAGAGGACUUUUCAAGUUCCUCUCUUUUCAUCUUCCCUCCAUUUUCCAUUAACUCUUGUUAUAUACCCAACAAUAUAUACGUCCAAGAAACUUAAAUGAUUAUUAGAAGAAAAUAUGAAAAAUAGGAUGAACGUACGAUUGCAAUCCUCAUUUAAUUAGAUAGAACAUUGAUUAUCUUAGAAAUGAAAGCAAUAUGGAUUUAAACCACAAAAAAAAAGUAUUAUGUCAACACAAAUAAUAGUAUCCAUAUAGGUGGUGGACAACUAUCUUCUUAUAAAUUUUAACAAUUCUCAUUUCGUAAAUUAAUUUUUGAAGUUUAAUUAAGUUUAAUAUUAGACGAGAGGGAGUUGCUCGGAUGGUAAGCACCCCUCACUUUCAAUCUGAAGGUUGCGAGUUCGGGUCACCAAGGAAGCAAAAGGGGUGGGAGCUCCUAGGGAGGGUUAAAAAAUAAAAUAAUAAUAAUAAUAAUAAUAUUAGAGUUAGAUUCAUCUCAAUUCUGUUCGAUGCUAGAUCCCAGAUCAUAUUAUGGUGUACACGUAAUAAUCCAAUCUAUGAGUAUAGGAUUGUUAAUAUGUAGUUCAUAACGAUUAAUUUUUAUUUCCUACUUAGUCACGUCUCAUUAUUUAUAAAGAAAUUAGUUAUAACUGGAGAUAACCAAUACUCGACAAUUCAUUUGAACCCGUUUUUCAUGAGCUAUACAAUGGUUUAAACGUAUAGUACUUACGGCGCCGAAACAAGAAAAUUGAUGCGCCUUAGUACUUGCCAAGCAAGAAAGGGGAAGAUGAUGACUUGGUUCGUUUCUAAAUAUCCAAAUUGUAGGAUGACUUAUUGACUUUUUGGGACCCCAUUUAUUGGAACCAAAUUUAGAGGAUAUAUUACUUCGUCAAUUUAGUUUGUUUUUAUUUUAUUAUUCUAAUGGAAUUUAAGAAAAUAAAAUUUAGAACUAAAAGUGUCACAAAGGGGAUUUUUUAAAACGAUUUUUAAAGAAAAAGUAAGAUAAAUAAAUUUUAAAAAAAAAAAUACCUGAAUUUUGUAAUCUAUUUGUUUUAAUUUAUUGUUUUAUUUUGACUAGAUAUAAAAUUUCAAAAAAAAUAAAAGAAUUUUUUAAUCAUUUAAUUUUAAAUUAAAAUAUGUAUUAAAAUAUAUUUUGAAUCUUAUAAGAUGAAAAAUAAAAUACUUGAAUUAAAAUAAAUGGAGUAAUAAAUUUUAUCCAAACAUAUAUUGGUUCCGUCUUAAUUUACGUGAUACUACUAUUUAAUUUGACGCAAAUUUAAGAAUUAAAAGAAAUAUUUUUAAAAUUUAUGGUCUAAACGAUGACUACUAUUCAUGUGGUUACAAAUCUAAAAGGUAAGUGUGUCAUGCAAAUUGAGACGGAAGAGUACUCCCUUCGUCCAACAAUAGUUGUGCAUUAUACUAUUUUGGGAUGUCCAAAAAUAUUUGUCCACUUUAUGAAAUAAUGAAUAAUUUUACACUUAUUCCUAAUUUCUGUUCAUUUUCUCCAAAUUUUAGCUUGGAUUGGAGACACAUGUCAUAGUUUAGAAUUAAUAGUUGAGAUCUAAUUAAUUAAAACAAAGUUUUAACCAUAGUUAUUUACUUUCAUAUAUUUGCUUCUUAAAUAAUUUUGCAAUCCAACAAUUCUAGAUUUACAUUAUAUUUUUCCUAAAUAUAUAUUUUUUAAAUUUCUUUUCUUAAUUACUUGAGUAAUAUUUUGCUGAUUUUUUUUACUUUUUUCCCUGACGAUUGUCAUUUCUCAAAUAAUAUUUGUCAAAUAAAAAAUUAAAAAUUGCGACCUAAUUUUUUUUAAAAAAAAUUAUGAGUAAAAUAAAUUUUGUCACUCAACUUUAAAUUAUUUUUUACUCCCUAAAUGGAGUCCAUAUUACUCUAUAGACAUUGUAGCUCUUAAUACUCUAUUAGAAUAAUAAAAUCGUUUAACUGUAUUAUAAUUUUUUUCAAUAAAGUAAAAAUAUUUAGUAAAAGUUUAAAAUAUGUAGGCAGGGCAGUAAAGAAAAGUUUUUAAUAUAUUUAGUGAAACUAUAAUGGAUUGCCAAAAUAUUUAAGAAUCAAAUAUAUGAAAGUAAAUAACUAUGGUUAGGACUUUGUUUUAAUCAAUCAUAUCUCAACCAUUAAAUCUAACUAUGACAUGUGUUUCCAAUUCAAGCUAGAACUUGAGGAAAAUGAAGAGAAGAGAAAUUGAGAAUAACCGAAUCCGUAUUUAUUAUAUUCAAAAAGUGAUAUAAUAAAAUUAUCCUUCUUUUUAAAGUUUAUUAAGAAAUGUGCAAAAUUAAUAGUGGAUUAAAUAUUGUUAGACACGGUAUAUUUUAAACAAUCAUUUUAUUUUUAUGGAUUCAGACGAUGAAAACUAAGUCAACUUUAUAACGUGCGGAGUUUGACGGAUGACUGAAUCAUUCUUCUUCAACACGCGUUAUUUCAAAUAAAUACUGUUCUUACAACUCUAUAAAUAGAGAAGAAUAUACAAAUACUCCUCACUGCAAUUUCUCAGCAUUUCAAAUAUUCCUCUCUUUUACUCUCUCUGCCUACUCAAUUAUACUCCUAACCAAACUUUAAUUCCCCAUCAAACAAACAAAAUGAAGGUAUACAAAUUAAUUUAAAUGUAAUUUUAAAUUUUUUUUAAGUAUAUGAUUCAACUCUUAUCUAUUAACAAAUGUUGUUAAAUUUGUGCAGCAAAAAGUUGUUAUCAGACUAUCUUUGAAUGGAAACAAUCAGAAAUAUCGAACCAAGGCCUUCAAGAUUGCUGUUUCUCAAUCAGGUAAUUUCAAUCAAAUGUAUCGAAUAAAGUCUCAUAUUGAUGUUAAUUAAAAAAAAUCGUGUGAAUUUGGCUCAAAGCUGAUUAUAUAUGUAUUGUUAAUUUUUGUUACUUAGGUGUGGAAUCAGCAGCUAUAACAGGGGACGGAAAGAACCAAUUGGAAGUUGUGGGAGAAGUAGACGCGGCGACUCUAACGAGCUUAUUGAGGAAGAAUUUGGGUCAGGCGGACUUGGUGAGCGUUGGCCCGGCUGGUGGUGGCCCCGCAGCUGCAGCUCCAGCUCCAGCCGUAGCUGCAGCUGCGAUGGUUCAGUCACAACCUGGCUCGUAUUAUUAUGCCUAUCCGUCUUAUCAAUACCCAGUUUACCAAGUUACAGAUUCCUAUGGCGAAUCCAAUUGUUCCAUUAUGUGAAUGACAAUUUUCGGUUGCCUAUGGAAAACAGAGUGUAUAGUAUUGGAAUAGAGGGAUUCAAUAUAAUUAACUGUAUUCACAGUCAAAUAUUUAUUGAUAUGUUAAUAGAUAGGGCUAUAGAGUUUGAGCGAAAGCUAUUUGGUUCACGUGAACUUGUAUGGUGUAUCAUUGAAGUUUUUGGUCCCUGUCCAGAGAGCUUAAUGGACUAUCUAGUAGAUGAAGAGUUUUGGUUUUUUUUUCCCCAUCUUUUUGGGUCUUUGUACAUGCCUUUCAAAUAUUAAAAUAUAUGAUUUUUCGUAUAAUUGGAUGAU